rnacentral:misc_RNA from 1 species
ACUCUUCAAAUCCUUAAUUUUUUUUAUGAAUUUUAAGUUUGAUUUGGUUUUUGAAUAUUGUUGGAGAAGUUAAAUUCUCGAAACUUAUUCGUAAUACAUUAGCAUUCCCAUUUCGAGAUCAGAUUGACUCGGCGUAAUAGAUUAUUCGCUGAGGAUUAUAGACUUCUAUAAGCUGAACUUGUAAAUAUUUAGAAAGCUUCUAAUCACAGUAAAUUCUAAGA